rnacentral:rRNA from 1 species
ACGAACGCUGGCGGCAUGCCUAACACAUGCAAGUCGAACGAAGCCUUCGGGCUUAGUGGCGCACGGGUGCGUAACGCGUGGGAAUCUGCCCUGGGGUACGGAAUAACAGCGGGAAACUGUUGCUAAUACCGUAUGAUGUCGUGAGACCAAAGAUUUAUCGCCCUGGGAUGAGCCCGCGUUGGAUUAGCUAGUUGGUGGGGUAAAGGCCUACCAAGGCGACGAUCCAUAGCUGGUCUGAGAGGAUGAUCAGCCACACUGGGACUGAGACACGGCCCAGACUCCUACGGGAGGCAGCAGUGGGGAAUAUUGGACAAUGGGCGAAAGCCUGAUCCAGCAAUGCCGCGUGAGUGAAGAAGGCCUUCGGGUUGUAAAGCUCUUUUGCCCGGGAAGAUAAUGACUGUAGCAUAUGAAUAAGCACCGGCUAACUCCGU